rnacentral:rRNA from 1 species
GUGGGGAAUAUUGGACAAUGGGCGAAAGCCUGAUCCAGCCAUGCCGCGUGUGUGAAGAAGGUCUUCGGAUUGUAAAGCACUUUAAGUUGGGAGGAAGGGUAGUAACCUAAUACGUUGCUACUUUGACGUUACCGACAGAAUAAGCACCGGCUAACUUCGUGCCAGCAGCCGCGGUAAUACGAAGGGUGCAAGCGUUAAUCGGAAUUACUGGGCGUAAAGCGCGCGUAGGUGGUUUUGUAAGUUGGAGGUGAAAUCCCCGGGCUCAACCUGGGAACUGCCUCCAAAACUGCAUGACUAGAGUACGGUAGAGGGUAGUGGAAUUUCCUGUGUAGCGGUGAAAUGCGUAGAUAUAGGAAGGAACACCAGUGGCGAAGGCGACUACCUGGACUGAUACUGACACUGAGGUGCGAAAGCGUGGGGAGCAAACAGGAUUAGAUACCCGGGUAGUCC